AGUGAACGCUGGCGGUAGGCCUAACACAUGCAAGUCGAACGGCAGCACAGUAAGAGCUUGCUCUUACGGGUGGCGAGUGGCGGACGGGUGAGGAAUACAUCGGAAUCUACUUUUUCGUGGGGGAUAACGUAGGGAAACUUACGCUAAUACCGCAUACGACCUACGGGUGGAAGCAGGGGAUCUUCGGACCUUGCGCGAUCGAAUGAGCCGAUGUCGGAUUAGCUAGUUGGCGGGGUAAAGGCCCACCAAGGCGACGAUCCGUAGCUGGUCUGAGAGGAUGAUCAGCCACACUGGAACUGAGACACGGUCCAGACUCCUACGGGAGGCAGCAGUGGGGAAUAUUGGACAAUGGGGGCAAGCCUGAUCCAGCCAUACCGCGUGGGUGAAGAAGGCCUUCGGGUUGUAAAGCCCUUUUGUUGGGAAAGAAAAGCAGCAGGUUAAUACCCCGCUGUUCUGACGGUACCCAAAGAAUAAGCACCGGCUAACUUCGUG
rnacentral:rRNA from 1 species